rnacentral:tRNA from 1 species
UCCUUAGCUCAGUUGGUUAGAGCAUCUGACUGUUAAUCAGAGGGUCCUUGGUUCGAGCCCAAGAGGAGGAG